UUCCGGAGCUAACGCGUUAAGUCGACCGCCUGGGGAGUACGGCCGCAAGGUUAAAACUCAAAUGAAUUGACGGGGGCCCGCACAAGCGGUGGAGCAUGUGGUUUAAUUCGAUGCAACGCGAAGAACCUUACCUACUCUUGACAUCCAGAGAACUUAGCAGAGAUGCUUUGGUGCCUUCGGGAACUCUGAGACAGGUGCUGCAUGGCUGUCGUCAGCUCGUGUUGUGAAAUGUUGGGUUAAGUCCCGCAACGAGCGCAACCCUUAUCCUUUGUUGCCAGCGGUNNGGCCGGGAACUCAAAGGAGACUGCCAGUGAUAAACUGGAGGAAGGUGGGGAUGACGUCAAGUCAUCAUGGCCCUUACGAGUAGGGCUACACACGUGCUACAAUGGCGCAUACAAAGAGAAGCGACCUCGCGAGAGCAAGCGGACCUCAUAAAGUGCGUCGUAGUCCGGAUUGGAGUCUGCAACUCGACUCCAUGAAGUCGGAAUCGCUAGUAAUCGUAGAUCAGAAUGCUACGGUGAAUACGUUCCCGGGCCUUGUACACACCGCCCGUCACACCAUGGGAGUGGGUUGCAAAAGAAGUAGGUAGCUUAACCUUCGGGAGGGCGCUUACCACUUUGUGAUUCAUGACUGGGGUGAAGUC
rnacentral:rRNA from 6 species